rnacentral:rRNA from 1 species
CCUACGGGCGGCAGCAGUGAGGAAUAUUGGUCAAUGGCCGGAAGGCUGAACCAGCCAUGCCACGUGAAGGUCAGUGCCCUAUGGGCGUUAAACUUCUUUUGUGCGGGAGCAAUAAUGGUCACGUGUGGCCAGACGAGAGUACCGUACGAAUAAGCAUCGACUAACUCCGUGCCAGCAGCCGCGGUAAUACGGGGGAUGCAAGCGUUAUCCGGAUUUAUUGGGUUUAAAGGGUGCGUAGGCUGUGAGGUAAGUCAGCGGGGAAAUGCCCCCGCUCAACGGGGUGAAGUGCCAUUGAUACUGCCUUGCUGGAAUGCGGAUGCCGUGGGAGGAAUGUGUGGUGUAGCGGUGAAAUGCAUAGAUAUCACACAGAACACCGAUUGCGAAGGCAUCUCACGAAUCCGCGAUUGACGCUGAUGCACGAAAGCGUGGGUAUCAAACAGGAUUAGAUACCCCAGUAGUC